AAUAGCUCAUUACAACAGCCAUCGUUUACUAGAAAAUCGUUGUCCUACUUGGAUAACUGUGGCAAUUCUAGAGCUAAUACAUGCAAAAAAGCUCAAACCGUAAGGAACGAGCGCAUUUAUUAGAAUAAAAACCAAUCGGGUCUAAAAGCCCGCUCUUUGGUGAAUCUGAAUAACUUUGCCGAUCGCACGGUCCUAGUACCGGCGACGUAUCUUUCAAGUGUCUGCCUUAUCAACUUUCGAUGGUAGGUUAUACGCCUACCAUGGUAGUAACGGGUAACGGAGAAUAAGGGUUCGACUCCGGAGAGGGAGCCUGAGAAACGGCUACCACAUCCAAGGAAGGCAGCAGGCGCGCAAAUUACCCACUUCCAGAACGGAGAGGUAGUGACGAAAAAUAACGAGACAGUCCUCUUCGAGGUCUGUCAUCGGAAUGGGUACAAUUUAAAUCCUUUAACGAGGAUCUAUUGGAGGGCAAGUCUGGUGCCAGCAGCCGCGGUAAUUCCAGCUCCAAUAGCGUAUAUUAAAGUUGUUGCGGUUAAAACGCUCGUAGUUGGAUCUGCGGCCUGGGAGAACGGUCCCCCGAAAGGGUGGUAACUGUUACUCUUAGCCUAAAAUUUUAGUCUACUCUACGGUGCCCUUAACCGGGUGCUUAGAGUGACUAGAACGUUUACUUUGAAAAAAUUAGAGUGCUUAAAGCAGGCGAAUUCGCCUGAAUAAGGUGCAUGGAAUAAUGGAAUAGGACCUCGGUUCUAUUUUGUUGGUUUUCGGAGCCCGAGGUAAUGAUUAAGAGGAACAGACGGGGGCAUUCGUAUUCCGGCGCUAGAGGUGAAAUUCUUGGACCGCCGGAAGACGGACGACUGCGAAAGCAUUUGCCAAGAAUGUUUUCAUUAAUCAAGAACGAAAGUUAGAGGUUCGAAGGCGAUCAGAUACCGCCCUAGUUCUAACCGUAAACGAUGACAACCAGCGAUUAGUCGGCGUUAAUAUAUGACCCGACUAGCAGCUUCCGGGAAACCAGUGACUAGAACGUUUACUUUGAAAAAAUUAGAGUGCUUAAAGCAGGCGAAUUCGCCUGAAUAAGGUGCAUGGAAUAAUGGAAUAGGACCUCGGUUCUAUUUUGUUGGUUUUCGGAGCCCGAGGUAAUGAUUAAGAGGAACAGACGGGGGCAUUCGUAUUCCGGCGCUAGAGGUGAAAUUCUUGGACCGCCGGAAGACGGACGACUGCGAAAGCAUUUGCCAAGAAUGUUUUCAUUAAUCAAGAACGAAAGUUAGAGGUUCGAAGGCGAUCAGAUACCGCCCUAGUUCUAACCGUAAACGAUGACAACCAGCGAUUAGUCGGCGUUAAUAUAUGACCCGACUAGCAGCUUCCGGGAAACCAAAGUUUUUCGUUUCCGGGGGAAGUAUGGUUGCAAAGCUGAAACUUAAAGGAAUUGACGGAAGGGCACCACCAGGAGUGGAGCCUGCGGCUUAAUUUGACUCAACACGGGAAAACUCACCCGGCCCGGACACCGUAAGGAUUGACAGACUGAGAGCUCUUUCUUAAUUCGGUGGGUGGUGGUGCAUGGCCGUUCUUAGUUGGUGGAGCGAUUUGUCUGGUUAAUUCCGAUAACGAACGAGACUCUGGCCUAUUAAAUAGCCGGUAUAUAUUGAAAAGUUUACCGCGCUUCUUAGAGGGACAACCGGCGUCUAGCCGCGUGAAAUAGAGCAAUAACAGGUCUGUGAUGCCCUUAGAUGUCCGGGGCUGCACGCGCGCUACACUGAAAGAAUCAGUAUGCGCUUACGCCUAGUUCGGAAGAACCGGGUAACCCUAGCAAAUUCUUUCGUGCUUGGGAUAGGGAAUUGCAAUUAUUUCCCUUAAACGAGGAAUUCCCAGUAAAUGCGGGUCAUAAGCUCGCGUUGAUUACGUCCCUGCCCUUUGUACACACCGCCCGUCGCUACUACCGAUUGGAUGACUUAGUGAGGUCUUAGGACCGAGGUAAAGGAGC
rnacentral:rRNA from 1 species